UACGGGGGGUGCGAGCGUUGUCCGGAUUCACUGGGCGUAAAGGGCGCGUAGGCGGCGCGAGCAGUCGAUCGUGAAAGUCCGGAGCUCAACUCCGGAUCGGCGGUCGAUACUCUCGUGCUUGAGCACUGUAGAGGCAGAUGGAAUUCCGGGUGUAGCGGUGGAAUGCGUAGAGAUCCGGAAGAAUACCGGUGGCGAAGGCGGCCUGCUGGGCAGUGGCUGACACUGAGGCGCGACAGCGUGGGGAGCAAACAGG
rnacentral:rRNA from 1 species